rnacentral:rRNA from 1 species
UACACGAAAAGCCCAAAACAACGACCAACGGCGUAAAAUGUGACUAGAGAUUUUUCUAAUUAAAAAUACCAAAACUUACCACCCAGUUGUAAAAUACUCAAGGAGAUAAGGAAAGCCAACACAGGUAUUUUUAAUAGGUACCCUUGAAUUCACUAAAGCUUAGAAACAAACUAGGAUUAGAUACCCUACUAUGCUAAGCACUAAACACUGAGUGAACACUAUACAACACCCUCCGCCAGAGGAUUACAAAUGAAAAAUUUAAAACUCAAAGGACUUGACGGUGUCCCACAUCAACCUAGAGGAGCCUGUCCUAUAAUCGAUAACCCUCGCUUCACCCGACCUUAACUAGCCCACUCCAGCCUAUAUACCGCCGUCGACAGCUUACCCCAUGAGGGAUGAAUAGUAAGCAUAACAGGGCCCCCCUAGCACGUCAGGGCAAGUCGUAAC